rnacentral:rRNA from 1 species
CUGACCGAUAGUGAACCAGUACCGUGAGGGAAAGGCGAAAAGAACCCCUGUGAGGGGAGUGAAAUAGAUCCUGAAACCGCAUGCAUACAAGCAGUGGGAGCACCUUCGUGGUGUGACUGCGUACCUUUUGUAUAAUGGGUCAGCGACUUAUAUUCAGUAGCGAGGUUAACCGUAUAGGGGAGCCGUAGAGAAAUCGAGUCUUAAUAGGGCGUUUAGUUGCUGGGUAUAGACCCGAAACCAGGCGAUCUAUCCAUGAGCAGGUUGAAGGUUGGGUAACACUAACUGGAGGACCGAACCCACUGUCGUUGAAAAGCCAGGGGAUGACUUGUGGAUAGGGGUGAAAGGCUAAUCAAGCCUGGUGAUAGCUGGUUCUCCCCGAAAGCUAUUUAGGUAGCGCCUCGGACGAAUACCAUAGGGGGUAGAGCACUGUUUCGGCUAGGGGGUCAUCCCGACUUACCAAACCGAUGCAAACUCCGAAUACCUAUGAGUACUAUCCGGGAGACAGACUGCGGGUGCUAACGUCCGUAGUCAAGAGGAAAACAAUCCAGACCGCCAGCUAAGGCCCCAAAAUCAUAGUUAAGUGGGAAACGAUGUGGGAAGGCAUAGACAGCUAGGAGGUUGGCUUAGAAGCAGCCACCCUUUAAAGAAAGCGUAAUAGCUCACUAGUCGAGUCGGCCUGCGCGGAAGAUGUAACGGGGCUAAAACUAUGUGCCGAAGCUGCGGAUGUAUACUUUGUAUACGUGGUAGGGGAGCGUUCUGUAAGCCGAUGAAGGUGUGUUGAGAAGCAUGCUGGAGGUAUCAGAAGUGCGAAUGCUGACGUGAGUAACGACAAAACGGGUGAAAAACCCGUUCGCCGAAAGACCAAGGGUUCCAGUCCAACGUUAAUCGGGGCUGGGUGAGUCGACCCCUAAGGCGAGGCCGAAAGGCGUAGUCGAUGGGAAAAUGGUUAAUAUUCCAUUACUUCUGUGUAAUGCGAUGAGAGGACGGAGAAGGCUAAAUCAGCCUGGCGUUGGUUGUCCAGGUGAAAGGAUGUAGGCAUGUAUCUUAGGCAAAUCCGGGGUACUCUAUGCUGAGAUCUGAUAGCAAGCUGUACUUGUACAGCGAAGUGGUUGAUGCCAUGCUUCCAGGAAAAGUCUCUAAGCUUCAGUUACACAGGAAUCGUACCCGAAACCGACACAGGUGGUCAGGUCGAGUAGACCAAGGCGCUUGAGAGAACUCUGCUGAAGGAACUAGGCAAAAUGGUACCGUAACUUCGGGAGAAGGUACGCUGUUGUUGGUGAUGGAACUCGCUUCCUGAGCUGACGACAGCCGCAGAAACCAGGCCGCUGCAACUGUUUAUUAAAAACAUAGCACUCUGCAAACACGAAAGUGGACGUAUAGGGUGUGAUGCCUGCCCGGUGCUGGAAGGUUAAUUGAUGGGGUUAGCGUAAGCGAAGCUCUUGAUCGAAGCCCCAGUAAACGGCGGCCGUAACUAUAACGGUCCUAAGGUAGCGAAAUUCCUUGUCGGGUAAGUUCCGACCUGCACGAAUGGCAUAAUGAUGGCGGCGCUGUCUCCAGCAGAGGCUCAGUGAAAUCGAAAUCGCUGUGAAGAUGCAGUGUACCCGCGGCUAGACGGAAAGACCCCGUGAACCUUUACUGCAGCUUGACACUGAACUUUGACCUUACUUGUGUAGGAUAGGUGGGAGGCUUUGAAGCUGGAACGCUAGUUCCAGUGGAGCCGUCCUUGAAAUACCACCCUGGUAAUGUUGAGGUUCUAACUCUGUCCCGUGAUCCGGGACGAGGACCGUGUCUGGUGGGUAGUUUGACUGGGGCGGUCUCCUCCUAAAGAGUAACGGAGGAGUACGAAGGUGCGCUCAGCGUGGUCGGAAAUCACGCGUAGAGUAUAAAGGCAAAAGCGCGCUUAACUGCGAGACCCACAAGUCGAGCAGGUACGAAAGUAGGUCUUAGUGAUCCGGUGGUUCUGUAUGGAAGGGCCAUCGCUCAACGGAUAAAAGGUACUCUGGGGAUAACAGGCUGAUACCGCCCAAGAGUUCAUAUCGACGGCGGUGUUUGGCACCUCGAUGUCGGCUCAUCUCAUCCUGGGGCUGAAGCAGGUCCCAAGGGUAUGGCUGUUCGCCAUUUAAAGAGGUACGCGAGCUGGGUUUAGAACGUCGUGAGACAGUUCGGUCCCUAUCUACCGUGGGCGCUGGAAAUUUGAGAGGAUCUGCUCCUAGUACGAGAGGACCAGAGUGGACGAACCUCUGGUGUACCGGUUGUGACGCCAGUCGCAUCGCCGGGUAGCUAUGUUCGGAAGGGAUAACCGCUGAAAGCAUCUAAGCGGGAAGCCUACCUCAAGAUAAGAUUUCCCUAGGACUUUAUGUCCUCUAAAGAGCCGUUCGAGACUAGGACGUUGAUAGGUUGGAUGUGGAAGCAUAGUGAUAUGUGAAGCUGACCAAUACUAAUUGCUCGUGAGGCUUGACUAU